UUUUCUAGUUUUUAAUGUGUCAAAGAAAAGCACAUUAAGGUUUUGUUUAGAUUAAGCUAUCAAGUAUAUAUAAUUUUGAGGGGGAAAAGCCAUUGUCACAUUACACAAGUUCACUUUUUUGGCACAUCUAUGAAAUCUUUCCUACUUGUGCAUAUACUUUUUUUAAUCAAAGUUUUCUUGAAAGGAGCUUCAUGGAAGCAGGUGGUACUGAGAAGUACCAAUAUUACUUAGCAAUUCAAACAGCAUAAAUCACAAUAAAGAUGAGGAACUCAUGGUGCAGCUUGCAUCAUAGUUUAAAUAACUGAAGCCCUAUGCAGCUCUGACUAUUAAAUUACCAAGAUGAGGAAAUUCAGUAACAGGUUCUAUGUUUUUAUCAUGCAUUUAUCCCAGGGCAGUGUACUUCCCUUAGGCAAGAACAACCUAACUUUCUUUCAGAUAGCAAGGAAGACCUUAGCAAUGCCACCAACCAGCUCUUGGAACAACUUAGGGUAAUUAUGAGCCUCAGAUGGCAAGGCAGUGUACAAGUGCUAAGUGGAGGCAAGAAACACCACCUGCUCACAGGGUGAGAGCUAAUUUCAGGUGUCCUCUGCUCAAAGCCAGCAAGGGGUUUUAUACUGGGAGACAGUGAAGGAGACAACAUCCACAUGCUCAGAUGGACUGGAGCCAACAGGGGGCAGCCACGCUCAGAGGUCAACAGCAGCUCCAGAUGUCCUCUUCACCUCACUGCCUCGGAACAUUGAGACUCAUGGAGGACAGAUCAUGUCACAUUUGUGCACACAGCCUCCCAGGCUGGAGAAUCAUAGCCAGGGUUCACUCCUCGGCAGGACGGCCAAGCCCCACACCAAGUAGAGAAUAAAACCCCUUGGGCUCUUUCAAAGACAACGGAAUUUGUGUUGUUUAACAUCCUCAGAAGUCACAGGAACAUCUGGGAAUGUCACUUUAUAAAUAACAAAUUCCAUAUCUAAAUGGAAGGAAGAUGAAGCCUGAAAUGAAAAUCAGGAUGAGCUAAUUGUAUUGUUUGUGAUGAUCAAUGGUGUUCAUUAUUUUGCUGAUCUGGUGGCCCCAAGAUGGUCCCUGGCACACGUGACUCCAUUAGCUCCCCCAGGCAAGGCAUGGCUGGUGAUGAUUUUGCCGGACAGCUUUGUCCCAUCCCCUAGCUGGGACCAUCCACCAAGGAAGAGGUGAUGCUAUGGGCUGUCAGGGGCUGUUAAGGGCCUCAGAAGUCAGGGGGUCUGAGUGGCGGGGUCCAAGGUGGGGCUGAAGGCAGAGGCUUCUCCUGACCAGUACACUCCUAGCUCUGUCCAGGGCCAGCCACGGCUCCGUGUGCUUCCAAGCAUCUCCAGUACAAGAGACGCCACAAACACAGAAGUGUUAAAAAAUCAGGAAUCUAGGGGCCAGGGAUUUAGCUCAGUGGUUUCAACGCCUGCUACGAAAGCGCGAGGACCCGAGUUUGAUCCCUGGUACCAAA